AUGCCGGUGAAGUCAAAAAAAAAUAAAAAUUGUGUUAAUUGUUGAUGAUAAUUAUAAAACUUAUCGUGAAGCAGCUCACAUAAGAAUAAUGAGAAUUAUGAAAAAAUUCAAAUCAUGUGAUACUAAUAAUAAAUUUAGCAACAAGCAUCUAAAAAUCGUUACAAAUGAAGAGGUAAAGGUGAUUGUUUUGAACCCUAAAGUGUCUCUGCGAAAAAGAGUAUCUUCGCUUCCAGAUAAAAUUGGAUAUAAACGACGACAGGUAUGGUACGAGCAUGAUGACGCAACAUGUGAUUAAUAACCCCUUUGGAUUUUUUCUUAUGGGGUAACUUAAAAGAAUAGGUAUAUUAAUAGAGGCCAUUCAUAAACGUAGAACAUUUGGAAACAAUUAUUACAAAAACAAUUGAGGAUAUAUCUCUGAAUAUAAUUAGAAAUGGAUUGAAGGAAUUUUCUUCUAGAACGGAAACCUGUAGUGUAAAACAAGGCGGAUACGUUGAAGCAAUAGUCAAUUGAUGAUAAACUUACACGCUUCUUAGGCAAUUAACAUUCUUAGCAUUGUAUACCAUGUAAUUAUUGUUAAAUAAAUAGUUUUGUUAUUUA